UUCACAAACUGCCUGUGUGCCAGAAUCUCCUAAAAUUUGAUUUGUUCCCUCUCUCAUUAUAGAUUUCAGAAGACUCAAAUCAUGAAGUAGUUUUAAAAAAAGAAUGAGGAAGAAGAGAAAAUUGAGGUAUAAGUUCCAAAAAGCCUUGGCGUAAACCCUGAAACUCCUGCCCACACAAGCCAUUGUGGAGAGCUCCCCAGAAAAUCUUUUUUCCCAGCACAUGAAGAAGAAUCACCACCUUUUCUAGUAACCUGGGUUUGGACCUACCUAGGAGAGAGUGAAUGGCUUUCCUCUGGAACACCUUGAGAUGGAGCAUCCUGGCAUCAUGACUAGGCAUAGAAGCCUACUCUAAGCAACAAGGAGUCUAGGGCAGUGUACUCUUCUUCCAGGCUGUGAAAGCCUCUAAAGAUGUACAGGUCAACUUCCUGAUGCUACUAGGGGAACACUGAACCCAACUGUCUAGAGAACUUCAUGGGGGGCUCACCUGAUUGAAAACCGUACUUGUGUUCAUUUUUUCCCAGCUCACGAAAAGACCCAUCUAGAGCCUCCUGCGGGCCACUGUGAAGGGGUCAUGGCUUGGGUAACUCCUGGUAUUUUAGUAUGUGGAGACAUAAUGAGCCUACCUACAGCCAACCAAACUGAAGCCUGAGACAAAUCCCAACCAACCUACACUCUGUGGCAGAGCCUCUUCAGACAAGCCAUAGACCUGCAAGAAGGUAAAUAGACACUUGUGGCUACAAAGCACUGAACUUUUGAGUGAUUUGUUAUGAAGCAUUACAGUAGCUACAACGGAUUUAUUUAGUCACAUUAAAUUUGGGGGGAAUUAAUAUCAAAAGAAGAGAUAAUAAAAAACAAAGUUGAAGGUGAUGUCA
rnacentral:lncRNA from 1 species